UCUUGGACAAUGGGCGCAAGCCUGAUCCAGCCAUGCCGCGUGAGUGAAGAAGGCCUUAGGGUUGUAAAACUCUUUCGCCGGAGAAGAUAAUGACGGUAUCCGGAGAAGAAGCCCCGGCUAACUACGUGCCAGCAGCCGCGGUAAUACGUAGGGGGCAAGCGUUGUCCGGAUUUACUGGGCGUAAAGCGCGUGUAGGCGGCCACGCAGGUCCGUUGUGAAAACUGGAGGCUCAACCUCCAGACGUCGACGGAAACCGUGUGGCUAGAGUCCGGAAGAGGAGAGUGGAAUUCCUGGUGUAGCGGUGAAAUGCGCAGAUAUCAGGAAGAACACCAAUGGCGAAGGCAGCUCUCUGGGACGGUACUGACGCUGAGACGCGAAAGCGUGGGGAGCGAACA
rnacentral:rRNA from 1 species